UCCGCAGGCGGCCUGUUAAGUCAGAGGUGAAAUCCUACAGCUCAACUGUAGAACUGCCUUUGAUACUGAUAGGCUUGAGUUAUUGUGAAGUGGUUAGAAUGUGUGGUGUAGCGGUGAAAUGCUUAGAUAUCACACAGAAUACCCAUUGCGAAGGCAGAUCACUAACAAUAUACUGACGCUCAUGGACGAAAGCGUGGGUAGCGAACAGGAUUAGAUACCCUGGUAGUCCACGCCGUAAACGAUGGAUACUAGCUGUAUGUCUACCUCAGGUAGAUGUGUGGCCAAGCGAAAGUGAUAAGUAUCCCACCUGGGGAGUACGAUCGCAAGAUUGAAACUCAAAGGAAUUGACGGGGGCCCGCACAAGCGGUGGAGCAUGUGGUUUAAUUCGAUGA
rnacentral:rRNA from 1 species